rnacentral:rRNA from 1 species
AUUGAACGCUGGCGGCAGGCUUAACACAUGCAAGUCGAGCGGGGGAAGGUAGCUUGCUACCGGACCUAGCGGCGGACGGGUGAGUAAUGCUUAGGAAUCUGCCUAUUAGUGGGGGACAACAUCUCGAAAGGGAUGCUAAUACCGCAUACGUCCUACGGGAGAAAGCAGGGGAUCUUCGGACCUUGCGAUAAUAGACGAGCCUAAGUGGGAUUAGCUAGUUGGUGGGGUAAAGGCCUACCAAGGCGACGAUCUGUAGCGGGUCUGAGAGGAUGAGCCGCCACACUGGGACUGAGACACGGCCCAGACUCCUACGGGAGGCAGCAGUGGGGUAUAUUGGACAAAGGGGGGAACCCUGAUCCAGCCAUGCCACGUGUGUGAAGAAAGCCUUAUGGUUGUAAAGCGCUUUAAGCGAGGAGAAGGCUACUUUAGUUAAUACCUGGCGAUAGUGGACGUUACUCGCAGAAUAAGCACCGGCUAACUCUGUGCCAGCCGCCGCAGUAA